rnacentral:rRNA from 1 species
UCAAUGGCCUAACGGCUGAACCAGCAACUUGUGAGAAAGGAAAAGCAUUUUGUUUUAAACAAAAUGUAGUUUUUUUGUCAUAGAUAUGACAGCUAUCUCUAGUAAAGCUAAUAGUUUUAUGGAUAGUAAUUAAAUUAAAAGACGGGAUUAGUUUAUCUUUUGGCUAUCCAAAGGGUUAAUUUUAUUUUUUGAAAGCUUCGGCUCUAAGCGAUUUACUCGCAUAAACUUCCAUACAAGAUACAGAUGAUGACUAUUUUUGUAUGACAGUCUUGGCCAAAACACGUGCCAGCAGCCGCGGCAACACGGGAUUAGACGAGUGUUAUUCAUCUUUAAUAGGUUUAAAGGGUACCUAGACGGCAGAUUCAGCCCCCACUGAGUUGGAACGGAACUUUUCUGCUAGAGUUUUAUGUGAGAGGGAUUUAGUACUAACAGAGUAGAGAUGAAAUUUUUUGAUACUGUAGGGCACUGAUAACGGCGAAGGCAGACCUUUAUGUAAAAACUGACGUUGAAGGACGAAGG